rnacentral:lncRNA from 1 species
CGCCUAGGAGCAGAGCGGAGGCCAAGCCGAAGGUGGUGAAGACGGCAAAGUCAUUCAGCUCGGCUCCUGCCCCAGACGGCCCAAGAUCCUGACAACCUCAGGAGAUGGUGCUAGAAUUCUCCCCUAUUUUAUGAAUGAGGAAACUACAGUUAAAAGAGAGGAAGAUACUUGCUCAAAGUCACAUGGUAAGUAGAACCAAAUCCCAUCUGUUUGAUUCUAAAUCUGCUGUUUCUUCGCUGCAGGCAUAGAUUUCAGCAGGAGGAGGUGUGUGGGAUAUGGCAGUGAACGAGCUCAAUGGCCAGGCCUGCGAGGCAGCAGCAGCCUCCCUGUGUGUGUGGGACCGUCCAGCCCAGGCCCCCCAGUGCUCCCAGUCUCUCCCAGUCUCUCCCACAACAGGGAAUUGGCUGGCCCUGCCCAUCUUCACAGUCUGUCUUGUCUCUGUUUUUACUCUAAGACCACAUUUGUACACCUUACACUCAAUCUGCUUGAGAAACUGAGUCUCUUGGAGAAAGAGCCCCAUUCCUCCCCAAAACUGAGAAGCCCCGCUGGUUGGGGCAAAUGUACCAGCCACAAAUAGAUCCUGCACUUGAGUGAAAUAAACAAGUUUCAAGGUG